rnacentral:rRNA from 1 species
UACGAAGGGGGCUAGCGUUGCUCGGAAUCACUGGGCGUAAAGGGUGCGUAGGCGGGUCUUUAAGUCAGGGGGGAAAUCCUGGAGCUCAACUCCAGAACUGCCUUUGAUACUGAAGAUCUUGAGUCCGGGAGAGGUGAGUGGAACUGCGAGUGUAGAGGUGAAAUUCGUAGAUAUUCGCAAGAACACCAGUGGCGAAGGCGGCUCACUGGCCCGGUACUGACGCUGAGGAGCGAAAGCAUGGGGAGCGAACGGG